CAUAAUAACAUUAUAUCUCCAUCAUCACAAAAACAAAUAUUCUCAUUCUUUAUGUCCAUUAUCACUUAAUUUCAAAGUUAUAAUUAGCAUAUAUAUCAUUGCUAAGGUUUCAGAGAUGUCUUCCAAAAAUAGUGCUUCACUUGCCCUCUUUCUCUCUCUUAACCUAGUCUUCUUUGCCCUAAUUAGUGCAUACAGUCCUCCCUAUAAGACCCGUGCAUGUCCUAUAGAUUCCCUAAAAUUAGGGGUGUGUGCCGAUGUGUUAGGCUUGGUGACUGUGAAAAUAGGAUCUCCUCCAACACUCCCAUGUUGUAGUCUCAUUCAAGGCCUUGUUGAUCUUGAGGUUGCCGUAUGUCUUUGCACUGCCAUUAAAGCCAAUGUUUUGGGCAUCCAUCUUGAUAUUCCUCUUUCACUCAACUUAGUUCUUAAUAAUUGUGGGAGGAAACUCCCAAGCGGAUUCGAAUGUGCCAAUAACUAGUUCUACUUUCUUUUAAAUUCUCUAAGCCUUCCACCUUUUGGACGUUCUGCAUUUUAGUGUUAUUAUUGAUCUAUUGUAAAGUGUGCUAUUUUUCGUAUUUGUCAUUGCAUGGUCACCUUUUGUUACCUUUGUUAUAUUGUUUGUAUAAUGAUUCGAUUGAGUGAUAUUCAAUAAAUUUAAUUACUUUAUUUUUUAUAAAUUUUGGUCUUCUAGUCUUUCAUGUUAUGCCUAAUUAAAUAUCAAUCACGCACAAUCUCUCCUUUAUAUUUAGCAUUUAAUUAGAAGCAAUUAAGCAAUAGAUUAUGUUAAUAUUUUACUAGUCACAUACAUUAAUGACGACAAAGAAACCUUUACUAUCGAAAGCGAAUAUUAGAUUCGUACGUGGAGGUUUCCCUCUAAAGAGCCAGAAUCAAUAACAUGAAAGUAAUGAUAAAUCAUUAUUUUAUUAUUCUCAAACUUAAAUGAAAAACCGUCAACGUCAAAUUUAGAUACAGAAAUUAAAUUCUAUGUCAUACAAGGUGAAACCAUUCUCCAAAACUAAAGGAAGAGUUCCUACGACUUCAACUUGUAUAAACUUUCCAUUGUUAACUUUAAUGGUUUUUUCCCCUUUUUAGAGUGUCUUCUUUGAAAGGAAUCCCUGCAAUGAAUUAGUAAUGUGUCAAGCCACAAUGUAUUACAAGAAACAUCAAUUAGAAAUGAUUCAUAAGUUAUUUGCCUUAUUUGUUUUGAUAGAAAUUGACUUAUCUUUAUUUUUAAAAAUCUUUGCCAUUUUUUAUGAGCCUUCUUCAUAUGGAAGCCAGUGGUAGUCAAAUGAGCAACACUAAAAAUUUUCAAUCUUAAGCCUUUCUUCUUCUUUGACGCACAUGACGAUUAACUCGCUCAUCUUCCACUUUUCAUUCUACGUGUUAUAAUUGAUCUUAAAUGGAUCAAACUGUGCAGGAAGAGAAGUCAUAAUGAAGUGAACAAGAAAACUCUCAGAAAUCAUCAUGUCCAUACCCUUUAAUUUAAAGGCCAUGUUGUUCAUCAUCAUAAGGUGCUCGGGCAUUCCACUAACCCCAUCGUACCUACUACUGAGCAUUUUCAAAAUAAGGGAACUUGCGUGAGUUUUAGAAGAACCCUUAAAUUGUUCCUCCACCGAAGUUAUUAAGUAUUCUUUAGCAUUCUCAGAGUCAGGAAUGGCUACUCGAAUGACUGUCGUGAUAGAGUUUUUUAUAAUCAUAAGGGACAUGCGGUUGGAUCGAUCACACUUUUCAUAAGUAGUCUUUUGCUCAAUUGAGCUAGUAGCUGCUGUAAGUGGAGCAGGAGAAUACACUCGUAAUGCAUAGUCCAAAUUCAUAUCGCCGAGAACAAUUUUUUUUUACUUGCUCUUUCUAAAUAGUAAAAUUAGUUCCAUGCAAAGCUUUAAUUCUAGAGAGAUGCCCAGAAAUACUAGUUGGAGUCAAUGCUGAAAUAUAAUCAAGCUCAUAAACAUGUUUACAAACAACUAAAAGAAAUCCACAAUGUACAACAAUAAUUAAUAAUUAAUCAUAAUAAAACCAACAGUAGGGAAAACAGUUAGUUACAUAAAAUCUAUUUACAACACCCAAAAAAUAGAUUUUAAUGAGAUGUUGGUGCAUAAUUAUCAAUCUUUCGUUAGUCCAAUUAAUAAUAUGCUAAUAACAUUUCCCAUAAAAUAAUGUACAACACAUUUAUUCACGCAUCAUCAUUGGGCAAAAACGAAAUAAACAUGUUACUUAUGCAAUAAAAUUCCAUUUAAUAAAAUUUUAAUUCUAAUUUUUCCGUUGGGUAAAAAUUAAAAUUUUCAUUUAUUAAGUGUAACAUUAUGCGAGUUUUCCUAAUCUUUAAUUAUUUCAAUUAAUAACCAUCCGUUGGGCUGAUUAUUAAUUUUAACAAUAAAAGAGUCACUCAUACAUGUAAAUUAUUAUAAUCAAACUCAUUUUCUUUAAACAACAUAUUAAUUAAGUUUGAACAUUAACAUUAUUUAUAAUUUACAUGUAACAACUUAAAAGCCCUAAUAAUAUAUCACAUCACGUUCUAGAAUCUUAAAUUAGGAUAUAUAGUAAUAAACAUGAAUUAAUUAUAUAUAAAGUAAUCAAAUUAAUUCUAACUAAGGCAUAAUAAUACCAUAUAGUCAAAAUGACUAAAAAAAAUAUGCAAAACAUGUAUAUUACUUAUUGAUGGUUUCAUGUAAAAGGUGAAUUAAUAUAUACCAUCAAAAGACUAUAUUACGUGCACAAUAGAUAAUUAGUUUUCUCUGAAAUUCUAAAAUCGUGGAUUAAAUCUGUAUGCUACUUAUUCCAUUAAUAAUUAGUUCCUUUGCAGUACAGUAACGCAUGUGCAUGAAUUCAUCAAUUCAUUAUUCUUUCAGAAAUUCCUUAACAUAUUGCAUAUUGAAUAUUUAUAUAUUAUACCAAUAAAUAGGUUACGCGGAAUUAAAAUUUAUAGCAGAACGUAAUUAAUUUAUUCUAUACAAUAGCGUAACCAUAGCUCUGAUAUCAGAUGUUAAAUAAUUAUAUCGAAAUGUGAUAUUACAUAGAAUAAAAUCAAUUAAUCAAUCAGGUACUUACAUGAAUUGAGGGAAGUCAUCUUGUAUGCAUCACACUUCCACUGCGCUUAAGGGUGAAAGUAUUCAAUUGUCUCUUUUAAUCUUAGGAUGAAUGUAUAGGUGUGUAUAAAAUUCUUGAGACGACAAUUGGGACCAAACCCUAACUGUUUUAUUUAUAGAAUAACUAAAGGUCAAAAAUCAUCUAUCAAGAUUAUGAAACUCUAGGGCCCAUUAUGCGAAGUAUUAUCAUUAAUAUUAUUUAUAGGCCAAAUAAUUAAUUAUCAAACUCAUAAAUAAAAUAAUUAAAUUAAUACAAUAUGUAAGCCCAAUAAUUACAUAAAUAGUACUAGAGGUCACAUAAGAAAAUAAAAUAUUCUAACAAAGGGUGCUAUUUUUCGUAUUUGUCAUUGCAUGGUCACCUUUUGUUACCUUUGUUAUAUUGUUUGUAUAAUGAUU
rnacentral:lncRNA from 1 species